rnacentral:tRNA from 1 species
UCCCUGGUGGUCCAGGGUAAGACUUCUCCUUCCAAAGCAGGGGGUGCAGGUUUGAUCCCUGUCCUGGGAG